GAUGAACGCUGGCGGCGUGCCUAAUACAUGCAAGUAGAACGCUGAAGGAGGAGCUUGCUUCUCUGGAUGAGUUGCGAACGGGUGAGUAACGCGUAGGUAACCUGCCUGGUAGCGGGGGAUAACUAUUGGAAACGAUAGCUAAUACCGCAUAAGAGCAGUUGUUGCAUGACAGCUGUUUAAAAGGUGCAAUUGCACCACUACCAGAUGGACCUGCGUUGUAUUAGCUAGUUGGUGAGGUAACGGCUCACCAAGGCGACGAUACAUAGCCGACCUGAGAGGGUGAUCGGCCACACUGGGACUGAGACACGGCCCAGACUCCUACGGGAGGCAGCAGUAGGGAAUCUUCGGCAAUGGGGGCAACCCUGACCGAGCAACGCCGCGUGAGUGAAGAAGGUUUUCGGAUCGUAAAGCUCUGUUGUAAGAGAAGAACGAGUGUGAGAGUGGAAAGUUCACACUGUGACGGUAUCUUACCAGA
rnacentral:rRNA from 1 species